rnacentral:misc_RNA from 1 species
GAUGAAGAACGUAGCGAAAUGCGAUACUUGGUGUGAAUUGCAGAAUCCCGUGAACCAUCGAGUCUUUGAACGCAAGUUGCGCCCGAAGCCAUUAGGCCGAGGGCACGCCUGCCUGGGUGUCACACGUCGUUGCCCCCCCAUCUACUCCUUCGGGAUUGCGGGGGGCGGAUGAUGGCCUCCCGUGCGCCUCGUCGCGCGGUUGGCAUAAAUGCCAAGUCCUCGGCGACGCACGCCACGACAAUCGGUGGUUGCGAAACCUCGGUUGCCCGUCGUGUGCGGUCGUCGCGCAUCAAGGGCUCGAAAAAAUUGCCGGGCUCCGGCUCGGCUUUCAACGCGACCCCAGGUCAGGCGGGGUUACCCGCUGAAUUUAAGCAUAUCAAUGAGCGGAGGA